UUCUGGUGCCCCCUGGCAGUUCAGCCCUGCCUUGGUCUCCUUGCUCUGAAAACCCUUUCUCCUAGAGGCAGGGGCGGAAGGUCCGAACCCGCGCCUCUGUGAGUGGUGAACCUCGGGGUCCUAGCAGCAGCCUCAGGUUAAUGCUGCAGUCUAGGCGAGGAGGUGGAAGGUAACCCUCUGGGGUUCCAUUUCAAGUUCCACCAUUGACACACCAUGUUUUGUUGGGAGAGUCAUUUUAAUCUCCCUCUGCCUGUUGCUCGGGCUGCAAAAAGAAGAUAACAAGCAUUCCUCCGGGGGUGUUGAGAGGACUAAUUAGAUAUGCAACAUGCUAAGGAGCCCCUUGGAGAGAGAAGCUACAGGACCACAAGGCAAUGCUGUCUUGACUGGUGGCUUGAUUCCCUGAUGGGCAGAUCAAGGCUUCCUGGUUCCUCAGUUGAUUUGGAUGCUUCAGCUACUGGCAGGCGCUGCUAUGGACUUCAUUUGCUGGGGUUUUCUCAGCUUUCAAAGUUCAAAAGAUCAUCACCUGGUCUAUCUUUUUCCAACACUCAUGACCUAAAGUCAGGAUAGAAAAGAGACAAUAGGGAGAUAAGAAACAGGAAUGUCAUACAUUCAUGGUGAAUUUAGUAGGAAAGGGGAUUAAAAACUGGGAGGCUUA